rnacentral:rRNA from 1 species
ACGUAAUCAAGCUACCCCUGAGACCGGGAUAACGGCGGGAAACCGCUGCUAAUACCGGAUGGCCCUGCGGGAUCGUAUGUUCUUGCAGGUAAAGGUUGGGAUCCUACGGGACCUUCUGCUCGGGGAGGCGAUUGCGGCCUAUCAGCUUGUUGGUGAGGUAACGGCUCACCAAGGCUACGACGGGUAGCAGGCCUGAGAGGGUGGUCUGCCACACUGGGACUGAGACACUGCCCAGACUCCUACGGGAGGCUGCAGUCGAGAAUCUUCCGCAAUGGACGAAAGUCUGACGGAGCGACGCCG